rnacentral:rRNA from 1 species
UACGUAGGGUGCGAGCGUUAAUCGGAAUUACUGGGCGUAAAGCGUGCGCAGGCGGUUUUGUAAGCCGGUGGGGAAAUCCCCGGGCUUAACCUGGGAAUGGCAUUCGGGACUGCAAGGCUGGAGUGCGGCAGAGGAGACUGGAAUUCCUGGUGUAGCAGUGAAAUGCGUAGAUAUCAGGAGGAACACCGAUGGCGAAGGCAGGUCUCUGGGCUGACACUGACGCUCAUGCACGAAAGCGUGGGGAGCAAACAGG